CUCAUUCAAGUGAUUGCAGAUGCCCUUUACUAUAAUGCAGCUUUGACGCUAAGCAUACUGCAAAAGCGUGGUGUUGCUGCUGAGAUUUUCAACCUUUGGUUCCAGAUGUUGCAACAAGUGAAAAAGAGUGGCGCACGUGCUAAUUUUAAGAGGGAGCAUGACAAAAAAGUUUGUUGCUUGGGGUUGACAUCACUACUUGCACUUCCUGCAACUCAAUUACCAGGAGAGGCCUUGGAGCGUGUUUUCAGGACCACUCUUGAUCUCCUAGUUGCAUAUAAGGAUCAAGUUGCAGAAGCUGCAAAGGCAGAAGAAGCUGAAGAUGAUGAUAUGGAUGGUUUCCAAACUGAUGAUGAAGAUGAUGUUGAAGGGUCUGACAAGGACAUGGGAGUUGAUACUGAGGAUGGAGAUGAAGCUGACAGCAUUAAACUUCAAAAGUUAGCCGCACAGGCAAAGGCUUUCCGUCCACAUGAC
rnacentral:misc_RNA from 1 species